GUCUUUAAAAGAAUAGGAAGAACUAAGAACUUGCUUGGCCUCUCAAAAAGGAUUUUGGGUAAAAAGUCCAAUCUGAAGCUCCCUGACCAAUAGGUUUUGGCAGCCAUGUAAGGCCAGAAGAAUUGGGACUAUAAGCUUACUCUGCAAGCUUCAGCCGCCCCCUCUCUGCUUGUUCCUCCGCGAACCCCAACUGAAUCUCUCUCUCUCUCUCUCUCUCUCUCUCUCUCUCAGAUAUGCACACCUGCACUCUUCCACUAAUAACUUUAGAUUGCUGCUGGCAUCCUCUGUUCGUACAAGAAGCUGCUGUUGCUGCUCGUGAUCCCUAUCUCCUUCUGCCAAGGAUCACAUGUCCUAACCUCAACAGGGGUUCCAAAGCUGUAGGUGCUUACCCAAAGCCUAUUCUCUCCAAAUUCAGAUCCUCCUUAAAUUCUUUUACCACUAGUUCUAACUUGUCCGGUGAUGGUGUUGACAAUGGGGAUGACAAUCAUUAUGGAAACUUGUUUAAUAAUGAUGAGGAUGUGGAAUCACAAUUGAUCACCUCUGGUGAUGGUAAUGUUGAUGGUGUUGAUGUUGAGAUCGAGAAAGUUGGGAAGAACUCACGGAGAAUUCAUUCAUCUGUUGCAAUUAAAGCAGAACUUUGCACUAUCUGGAAUGUUUUGACAGAUUAUGAAAGACUGGCUGAUUUUAUUCCUGGCCUCUCUGUGAGCCGUUUGAUUGAAAAGAGUGGCAGCUUUGCUCGCCUUUUUCAGAUUGGACAGCAGAACCUGGCUUUUGGGCUAAAAUUUAAUGCUAAAGGAAUUGUGGAUUGUUAUGAAAAAGAUCUUGAGAGUCUUCCUUAUGGUCAAAAGCGUGAUAUUGAGUUUAGAAUGAUUGAAGGCGACUUCAAAAUAUUUGAAGGGAGGUGGUCUAUUGAACAGUGCAAUGGAGGAAGAUAUAAAGGUGGGGAUUUGUUGAUGGGCCAAGAGUUUCAUACGACACUUUCCUAUAUCGUGGAUGUGGAGCCAAAGUUGUGGUUGCCUGUGCGUAUCAUUGAAGGAAGGCUCUGCAGGGAGAUCAAACUCAAUCUGUCAUGCAUCCGAGAAGAAGCAGAGAAAGCAACUCACAACACCCUUCCUGCCCAUUGAGUUUUCUUACUUUUCCUGAUGUCAAUCACUUGAUCUUGCCAAAUAUGCAAAGCCAAUGCAGAGCACCAUACUACAUUGUAAGAGAUCCUUCCAUGCUUCUAGAGUUCAGGGUUGUUGAAUCGUUGCCUAGUGAGAGGGUGUUUCCGUUAGAGAGGGGUUUCCACCUUCGAAUGGAGAGAUGGUUGCUUCUUGUUCGACGAAGUGGUAAAGGAAGUCCUUAUAGCGAGUUGCUUGAGGCAAGGACGCAGGCUGCUGGCUGAACCUUGUAAAAAACCUUGUGUUUUGCUCUUUUUCCCUAUCUCUUGAAUUCAGCACUUUAUAAACUCUGUGUAUGUUCUGAUUGUGUUGGGAAAUUUGCUGAAACACUGAGUAUUGAUUGUACUUAUUUCAAGUUAACAAAUUGAUUUCCCUUGAAGGGUUGUAUGAUUUAUAUUAUUGGCUGAAAAUUCAGACAAGCUCUGAGACUUAAAUCUGACUGUGGUUAAAUAAGGUAAAAGCUAUUGUUAUUGUUUAAAGUAAAAUCAGCUCAAGUAUGUUAUUCAAAUUAUUGAAUCUUUGCGGUUAUUUAAUUGUUGCUGAAAUUCAUAUUCUGAUAUUGAACUGUCCGAAUACUGAAUUAACUGAAAUUUAAAUUUGAUUUGUAUUUUCAGCAUUCACAUGUAUAUCUAGGAUUGUUGAUUGGUAUAGUACGGUCACUGAUUAGAUUAUUGUGAUUGAUAUUAGAGUGUGGUUGUGGUGGUUUACAUUAAAAGAGUUAAAAUAAAUUGAAAUUCCGCUAAGUAAUUUUUAAAUAUCCAAUUCACCCCCCUCUUGGAAUUACAUCUUUAGUUUCAAUUGGUAUCAGAGCCCUAGUUGUAGUAAAUCCUAACAAGUAGCUACACCAAAAUCUCUUUGUCUAGACCUCCUAUCUUUCGUGGUGUUAACUACACUUUCUGGAAACAAUGCAUGAGGAUAUUUUUGCAAACCAUGGACUAGAAAGUCUGGAAAGUAGUUACCGAAGGCGAUUUUGUGCCUUCCAAGACUACAGAUAGCAAAGUAGUUCCCAAGGAUGAAAUUGAACUAAAUGAAACUAACAUGAAACGGCUGCAAAUUAACUCUAGUGCAAUGAAUGCAUUAUAUUGUGCACUAGAUGCUAAUGAGUUCAAUAGGAUUAUAGGAUGCAAAUCUGCUAAGGAAAUUUGGGACAAGUUAGAAGCCACCUAUGAGACAAGUGUAGAUAUUAGGGAUAGUAGGAUUGACAUGCUCACUAGCAAGUAUGAGGCUUUUAGGAUGAACCUUGAGGAGUCCAUUACUAGUAUGUAUACUAGGUUCACCCAUAUAAUUAACUCUCUUAAUGCAAUAGGAAAAAACUAUUCUAAACACGAGAUGAUUAGGAAAAUCCUUAGAAGACUUCCUCCCAUUUGGGGACCUAAGGCCACUGUGAUAACUGAAGGCAGAAACUUGAAGAAUACUUCCCUAGAUGAACUCAUAGGAUCGCUUCACACGUAUGAAAUGACAAUAAACGAAAGAACUAUUGAAGUUAAAUAAAAGAAAUCAAUAGCUCUUAAAGUUUCAAAGGAAAGUUCAAGUGAGGAAGAAGAUAAUGAGUUAAACGAUGAUGAUUAAGCCCUAUUCACUAAAUGUUUAGACAAAUUCUUCAAAAAGAAAAAAAAAAAAUUUGCUAGAAAAUUUAGAGGAACUAAAACCGACAAAGGUGAAUCAAGCAAGAAAGAAACAAAGGCUGAACCCCCGACUUGUUAUAACUGUAAAAAGGUAGGACAUAUAAAGUCUGAUUGUCCACAGCUUAAGAAAGAUGUUAAGAAGAAGAAAAAGAAAGCAAUGAAAGCAACGACUUAGGAUGACUCUAGCUCAAGUAGCUCAACAAGUGAUUCAAGUGAUCAAGAAAUAGCCAACCUGUGCUUCAUGGCAAGAGAUGACGAGGUAAACUCUUAUUCAAACUCACCUAUAGAAUCAAGUGAUGAAUCUUGUAAUGACUCAUGUGAGAGCAUGUCUUUGUAUAAUGAAAUUCAAGCUGAAUUAUUCUUAGUACAUAAGAGGUUCAUAAAAGUGUCCAAGAGAAACAUCACACUAAAAGGACAAAAUGAAAUGUUAAUGAACCAAUUAGAGUCAUCAAAAUCGGCUGAAAAAGAAAAAGACCCGGCUAUUGAUGAACUUGAAAGUAAAAUAAACCAUAUGGCUAAAGAACUAGUAAAACUACAAACUAACUAUAAAGGAAUAAAAGAUUCAGAAAUAUUUCAUCUUGAGAUUAAAAUGGAAGAUCAAACUAAAAUUAUUUACAAUUUUACUAGAGGAGAGGAGAACUUUGAGAAACUAGUUGGAUCACAAAGAAUGUAUUUGGAUAAGGAAGGCAUAGGAUUUAAUGGAGUUGAAAACAAGAAGAAAAAGAACCUUUACAUGCAGUACUUUGUAAAAGCUUCAAAAAAUUAUGUAAGCACAUCUUCAACCAAUGCAUAUGAACACAUUACGUGUUUCUUAUGUAAGGAGAAGAGACACAUAAAAUUUGAAUGUCCAUUCAAGAGAAAUAAUGUUAAAACCAAAAAGGUAUGGAGAGUUAAAAAUGAAACUAAAACAAACUCAGAAAGAUUUAAGAAGAUUUGGGUACCAAAAGUAACAUCUUAAAUCCCUUUUUGUAGGUAUGUUUUAGGUCCACCCCAUCAAAAGACAAAUGCUACUUGGAUAGUGGAUGCUCAAGGCAUAUGAUCAGAGAAAAGUCCAAGGUCACCUCUUUGACACUUAAGGAUGGUGGACAUGUCACUUUCGGAGAUAAUGUUAAAGGUAGAAUUAUCGGCAUCAACUAAGUCGUUAAGGAACCCUCCUUGGUAAUUGAUAAUGUUUUAUUGAUAGAAGGGUUAAAGCAUAAUCUAUUUAACAUUAGUCAACUAAGUGACAAGGGUUUUGAUAUACAUUUAAAAAGGAUAAAUGCAUAGUUGAACAUACUGAAAAGAAUGAAACAGUGUUUAUUGCAAAUCGGGUCGAAAAUGUGUAUUGCAUAAACUUUGAAAACCUGGUCUCUCAAGAAGUUAAAUGCUUCACAGCUUUAAAUGAAGUUAGUUGGCUAUUUUCAUAAAAGAUUAGGACACGCUAGCAUGGACCUGUUGUCCAAAUUAGCUAAAAAGAACUUAGUCAAGGGGUUACCUAACACAAAGUUCAUAAAAGACAAGGUGUGUGAUGCUUGCCAACUUGGGAAGCAAACCAAGACAAGUUUUAAGAAGAAGAAACACAUCUCCACUAGUAGGCCACUAAAACUAAUUCAUCUUGACUUGUUCGGACCUACUAAAACACAAAGUCUAGGAGGAAAGUAAUAUGAUUUUGUCAUUGUUGAUGACUACUCCAAGCUUACCUGGGUAUUAUUCUUAUCCUUCAAAGAUGAAGUGUGUAAAAUGCUAACCACCUUGUGUAAGAAACUUCAAGAUGAAAAAGAGUAUGACGUUCUACACAUUAGAAGUAAUAGAGGUGGAGAAUUUAAGAAUAAAGAUGUUGAAAACUUCUGUGAUGAAAUGAAAUUUCUCACAACUUUUCAGCUCCACGUACACCUCAACAAAAUGGAGUCGUUGGAAUGGAAGUUCGUAGAGAAUCACCCUAAGGACCAAAUAAUAGGUGGACCAUCAUGAGGGGUGUCCACUAGAUCUUCAUUGAAGAAUCUAUGCAAUAAUUGUGCGUUCCUAUCUCAAGAGAAACCUAAGAACAUAAAUGGAACAAUCAAUGAUGAUUCAUGGAUAGUAGCCAUGCAAAAGGAACUAAAUCAAUUUGAAAGAUAUAAAGUUUGGAAGUUAGUUCCUAGACCUGCUGAUCAUUCGAUAAUUGGCACCAAAUGGGUUUUUAGGAAUAAAAAGGAUGAGAACACAAUUGUAGUCUGCAACAAGGCUAGACUAGUAGCACAAGCUUACAAUCAAGAAUAAGGUGUAGAUUAUGAUGAGACCUUUGCUCCUGUAGCUAUAAUGGAAGCAAUUAGAAUGCUACUAGCCUAUGCAUCUCACAAGAACUUCAAACUCUACCAAAUGGAUGUGAAAAGUGCAUUUUUGAAUGGAUACAUAAAUGAAGAAGUAUAUGUAGCACAACCCCCUGGUUUUGAGGACUUUCAUUUUCCUGAUCAUGUGUUUAGACUAACAAAAGUCCUAUAUGGAUUAAAACAAGCUCCUAGAGCUUGGUACGAACGAUUGAGUGGCUUCUUGUUAGAAAAUGACUUCACUAAAGGAAAAAUGGAUAGUGCCCUGUUUAUAAAGUCUAAGAAAAAUGAUAUGCUCAUCAUACAAAUCUAUGUUGAUGACAUUAUCUUUGGUGCUACAAAUGAGGAAUUAUGCAAGGAAUUCACAAUGCAAGAUGAGUUUGAAAUGAGCAUGAUGGGCGAGUUGAUGUAUUUCCUUGGUCUUCAAUCAAACAAGCUAAAGCUUUAACAUUUAUCAAUCAAAGUACAUAAAGGACCUACUCAAGAAGUUUGAUAUAAAAAUGGCAAACCAUUGGGAACACCAAUGAGCACCUCUAUUAGUCUCUACAAAGAUGAACAAUCAAAUACUACCAUGGCAUGAUAGGUAGCCUGCUUUAUUUGAUGGCUAGUAGACUUGAUAUUAUGUUCAAUGUCUGCAUGUGUGCUCGAUUUCAAGCGGCACCUAAAGAAUCUCACCAUAUUGGCAUUAAAAGAAUCUUAAGGUAUUUGAUAGGUACUAUAGACUUAAGACUAUGGUAUCCUAAAGAUACAACUUUUGAGAUAAUCAUCUAUUUAGAUGCAGAUUAUGUCGGAUGUAAAAUAGACCAAAAAAGUACAAGUGGUACUUGCCACUUCUUAGGACGAUCUCUAGUAUCUUGGUUUUCCAAUAAACAGAAUUCCAUGGCAUUAUCCAUUGCUGAGGCUGAAUACGUAGUAGUAGGUAGUUGUUCUGCACAAACGUUGUAUAUGAAACAACUUAAGGACUUUAAUUUGGAAUAUCUAGCUGUACCAAUUAAAUGUGAUAAUACCAGCGCCAUUAAUAUUUCCAAAAAUCCAAUAUCUCACUCUAGGACCAAACAUAUUGACACAAGACAUCCUUUUCUUAGAGAUCAUAUGCAAAAGGAAGAUAUUAUUCUUGAAUUCGUAAACACAGAUAUACAAUGGGCAGAUAUUUUCGCAAAACCUUUUUCAGAGUAUAGGUUCAUCUCAAUACAAUGAGAAUCAGGUUUAUUGCACUAUAGAGAGGUGGUUUGAGAAGGAGAAGUUCAUAAGAAUGAGUGGUUGAGUCAAAAGAGCAAGUCAAGAUUAUUGAAGGAUAAGCAACUGACAUUUAGCUCUUAGUCGACUAGACUAAUACUGACUUACGAAUAUUUCAAGUUCAGGCCCAUCAAGCGACUGACUCUUUGAGCUUAGUCAACUGACUCACUACUGACCUGUGAGAUUUUAAUGCACAUACAAGUCAGGCGAUUGACAGUAUUAGGUCAGGCAACUAACCCGCGGAGAUAUAAAUACUUUAUGUUUGUAAAAGCCCUAAUUUUUUCGAACCUCAGUUUACUUUCCGUCAUUCUCUCCUCUUCUAAAGUCCAUUCCUUCAUUUCCAAGUGCUCUCCCACGAAGAUUUCACCGAUUAAUCUUCACAAAACCUUCACAUCUUUCUUCCUACUCUCAUUUUAGAAAAUUCUACCAAACACUUUCUCAAAAAUCAUGCCAAAGACCAAGCAAAGUGCAAACAGAAGCUCCACUUCUAGGAAGGAUGAUACUCAAGAUAUUGAAAAGUGGUUGGUCACUCCCCAAGCAAGAAGAAUGUAUCGCGAACACAUUAGAUCUACCGAACCUAUUCUCGGUAAGAUUUUGGAUGUUUCUUUUAUAAGAAAGGAUUUUCUCAAUAUCUUGCCAAUGUUUAAUGCUUUGGGUUGGGAAAGAUUUAUUACGUGUCAAGCUAGGGGUGUAUAUCCUAACUUACUUAGGCUAUUCUAUGCAAACAUGGUAAAGGGUGAUAAUGUGUAUUCCACAACGGUCAUGAAUAAGGCAUUUGCUUUAACUUCUCAAACACUAGCCAUUAGAUUUAGAAUCCAAGAAGACGAGUUUGAAUGUCCAAAACUUGGACAAUCUUGGAUUAUGGCUCAAGGCUUUAAUCUUGAGGAAUUCUUACCACUAAUAAUGGCCGAAGCACCUGUUUAUUUUGGUCACCCUCCGCUAUACCGGCAGUUAAAUCUAGAAGCUAGAAUAAUACAUAACCUCAUUACGUACAAUAUUUUACUUAGGCUAGGGUCACAUGACCAUCUAUCCUAUUUGAAUUGUUUCGUAAUGUGUGUUUGUAUAAGGGGAAACACCUUGAUCUGCCCAAUCUAAUUCUAAGAUGGAUGAUAUCAAGAGAAGAAGCAAGAAGGGUAAUUCUUCCUUAUGGAGGAAUUUUAACCUUAAUCUUUGAACAUCUAGGAAUCACUACCUCAUCCACAUUGUUCGUCAAACGAACCCAUUAUGACUAAUUUUCAUCCACUACUAUUAAGCAAAUGGGAUAUGAAAAGUAUCAGGACCUCAGAUGGAUUCCUAAACCUGGUAGGGCACGUAGAGAUGAUGUGGGAUUCUAGGCUGAUCAGCAAUAGGCUCCAAAACCACAACAGGAUGCACCACCAGCACUUGAUGCUCCUUCAUGGUUUGUAGACUAUCGUCAGCAUAUGGACUCACAGUUGAGUGCAUUUUAGGGAGAAAUGAAUACAAAUUUUGGCGCACUUUAGUCCAGCUUCACUUCCUUUGAUCAGAGGCUCGGACGCCUUGAGCGCUAUAAGGGUGGUCCUUCUUCUUCAAGAGGGAAGGCUCCCAUGGAAACAAGCUCGGGAGGUGAUGAUGAUGAUGCUGAUGAUGAUAAGGAGGAGGGUACUGAAUCAGAUGGUGAUAAUGAAGAUGGUACAGACUAGAUGUCAUUUUUUUUAAUUUAUUUUAUUACAAACUAAUGGGUUGUAAUAUUUUCAUACUUGAUAUUUCUCUUGGUUGCUUAGAUUUCUUAUCAUUUUCUUUUGUUAUUUUGGAUAUUCUGUAAUGAAUGCUGAUUUUAGAUCUUCUUUCUUGCUACUUCUUGCUGUUUUAUUUUGGAUAUGUAGUAAUACAUGCUGACUAUGGUUUUUCUUAAAUAUUCUUUGCAUGUUAAUUGUUGGAUAUCCUGUUGGACAUCUUGCCAGAUCUCUCUUGAGAAUUGCAUGCUGCGUUUUGGACCGUGUAUUUGUGAACUGAAUGCUGAUUUUUGGUCCUAUGAUGAUUUGCAUGUUACUUCUCUGCAUUAAUCCUUUUUGUUGAUGUCAAAAGGGGGAGAAGUGUGGCAAAAUGAUAUAGGGUCAUGUUAGAGAAAUGAUAAGUGAUAGCAAAGCAAAAGUGCUCGAGUAUUGAUGUGUUUUGCAUGUUAUAUUCAUGUCGAAUGUAUAUUUAUGGUAAAUGUUAUACAUGUUGAUGAGUAGUUUAUACUGAAUGUGUUAUGCAUGCUGAAUGUGCUUAUCUUAUGAAUGUAUUGAAUAUUAUAUAUUAUCUAAGGAGAUAUUACAUUCAGGGACAGUCAUGCAUGUUAUUUUGUUAUAUGGCUUUGAAAUUGUUAAUAUUCAUGUAAUAACUUGUUAAGGGCAAUCUUAAUGUAAGGGGGAGUCUUAUCAAGACUCUCAUUUUACUCCUUAUUUGUCAUCAUCAAAAAGGAGGAGAUUGUUAGUAACAAGGGUUAAUCUCGUUUUGAUGAUAACAAAUCAAGGUUACUAAAUGUGUUUUUAAGUUGAGUUUCAGGACUCUAGUGAUUUAUGAAGUCAAGUGAUUGUACUUGAAGAUGUUUGUUGAAGCUUAAACUUAAAGCUACAAAUCAUGAGGAACAUGAAGUAUAUUGAAGAAUUGAUCAAAGUUCAGAUGAUUAUUGAAAGCUAUACAACAUGAAGACUUAGGAUCUUAGUUGUUUUUAUCUUGUUAAGUCACAUGUAAAUACUUUUGUUCUCAAUAUUGAAGUUGAAGCUCUUAGGAUUCAUUCUGGACUUAGAGACCUAUUUUAGAACAUGGAAAAUAUUUUCAUGAGGUCUAAAAUAAGUUUUCCAAGUUACCAAUUUAUCUUUUGAAAUUAAAAUUUGAAAACACUAAGUGGCUUGGUGAUCAGGCGACUAAUAUGCUACUGCAGUGUUAAUAAAGAAACAGAACAGGAUCAGGCGACUGAACCAUCAAGGUCAGGCGACUGAACUGCUACUGCCUUGUUCUGACGUGCUAAUUUGAAUUAGCUUAGGCGACUGAAGUGUAUAUUUUAAACUUUCAUAAAAUGCUGAUUUCUUUCUAAAUUCACUUGAUUGAGUUUCCAAACUUGGAGCGAACUUGGGGAAAACGGUAACUAUCUUUUCUACUCUAUAUAAAGAUUAUCUUUUCGCAAUUUAGGAUAACCAAUACUCACAUAAAAUUCAAAAUUCGUGUUAUACUCUUGAAAUUCUUUUUGAAAAGCUGCUGUGAGUUCUUGUUGAAAUACCUAGCUAAAUUCUGAUUUGAUUCUCUAAAAUCUACAUCCUACAAUCAGAAUACUUGUGAUAUCUUCGUGAGCUUCGAUUUUAUAUUGAUUAUCUGAAGUAUAGUGUGCUUUAAAUUUGUACAAAUUCUGCUCUAGUUGAGAGUUAUUUUCUUGUACUAAUUGUAUAUUGCUGUUGUGCAAACUUUGACAGUUCAGGGUUGUUGAAUCAUUGCCUAGCGAGAGGCUGUUCUUGUUAGAGAGGGUCUCCACCUUCGAAUGGAGAGAGGGUUGCUUCACCUAUUCAAUGAAGUGGUAAAGGAAAUCCUCAUAGCGAGUUGCUUGAGGCAAGGACAUAGACUGCUGACUGAACCUUGUAAAAAAUCUUGUGUUUUGCUCUUUUUUCCUAUCUCUUAAAUUCAGCACUCUAUAAACUGUGUGCAUGUUCUGAUUGUGUUGGGAAAUUAGCUGAAACACUGAGUAUUGAUUGUAUUUAUUUCAAGUUAACAAAUUAGUUUCCUUGAAGGGUUGUAUGAUUUA